UAUCUUCCUGUCAGAAACCACCAGAAC
rnacentral:piRNA from 1 species